rnacentral:rRNA from 1 species
UACGUAGGGUGCGAGCGUUAAUCGGAAUUACUGGGCGUAAAGCGUGCGCAGGCGGUGAUGUAAGACAGAUGUGAAAUCCCCGGGCUCAACCUGGGAACUGCAUUUGUGACUGCAUCGCUGGAGUGCGGCAGAGGGGGAUGGAAUUCCGCGUGUAGCAGUGAAAUGCGUAGAUAUGCGGAGGAACACCGAUGGCGAAGGCAAUCCCCUGGGCCUGCACUGACGCUCAUGCA